rnacentral:tRNA from 12 species
CGGGCUGUGGCGCAGCUUGGUAGCGCGCGUCGUUCGGGACGACGAGGCCGCAGGUUCAAAUCCUGUCAGCCCGA